CCUACGGGUGGCAGCAGUGAGGAAUAUUGGUCAAUGGGCGUAAGCCUGAACCAGCGACGUCGCGUGAGGGAUGAAGGUUCUAUGGAUCGUAAACCUCUUUUAUAAGGGAAUAAAGUGCGGUACCUGACCCGUUUUGUAUGUCCCUUAUGAAUAAGGCUCGGCUAACUCCGCGCCAGCAGCCACGGUAAUCCGGAGGUUCCGAGCGUUAUCCGGAUUUAUUGGGUUUAAAGGGUGUGUAGGCGGCGUUGUAAGUCAGCGGUGAGAGGCUGUGGCUCAACCAUAGAAUUGCUGUUGAAGCUGGGAGGCUUGAGUGUGGUUGAGGCAGGCGGAAUGCGUGGUGUAGCGGUGAAAUGCUUAGAUAUCACGCAGAACACCGAUUGCGAAGGCAGCCUAC
rnacentral:rRNA from 1 species